rnacentral:lncRNA from 1 species
CAGAUUCUCCACUGCUGGGCUCCCAUUAGACAUCCUUCCAGAUGGAUGUUUGCAGUAUAUUUUGAAGAAUGUCGUGAGGAAAACGUUCUACUCAUGAUGACCGUUUUGUGCCAUACUGAGCUAGAAAUAUGAAAGCUUAAUUCCUGUCAGUGAAGAAUUGCUCAUAGCAGUGCUCACAAGGUUAUGCAAGCCUGCAAAAAAGAGGAACAGAAAGGUUUCCACAAAUUAUUUACUCAAAACUCAGCCUCUACAAGAGCAAUGCCUCAAACCCACCCUCACCCGAAGCUGUUACUGAGUGGAUCUCCAUAGCAGCAGUAUCCAGCUGCUCUGUGCUUGUGCAGUCUGGGGAGUACUAAGCUUUGCAAGAAAAUGAAGCAUGUCCAGUUCAGACAGAACUCACAGAGGUUUUUCUUGCUAGGUUUUAUCUGAGCAUAUAUGAACUGUGACAUUUUGAAGGCUUGUAACUCACCCAGACUUUGGCAGUGUCUCAGCAGGAUAGGAAAAAGUUUUGUUUCAAUUUGGGUUUUUGGAGUUUUUUUUUAACCCAAAGCAGACCCUGUCAUUUUUUAUUUAUUUAUUUUUUUGAUUGGUUGAAAUACAAUAUUUCCUUUGUAUUCUUGUAAAUGGGUGAAUCACUUUGAGUGAAAUUUUUCACAAAGGUUCAGACUGAGAUGACUGUUGACAGGGGGAAGCUAGCCCAAGUACUAUCAAACAGUAACAAACUGGAGAAAAAGAGG